GUAGGGAAUAUUGGGCAAUGGAUGCAAGUCUGACCCAGCCAUCCCGCGUGCCGGAAGAAGGCCCUCAGGGUUGUAAACGGCUUUUGACGGUGAAGAAUCGACAGGAUGCGUCCUGUUUUGACGGUAGCCGUUGAAUAAGCACCGGCUAACUCCGUGCCAGCAGCCGCGGUACUACGGAGGGUGCGAGCGUUGUCCGGAUUUAUUGGGUUUAAAGGGUGCGUAGGCUGGAAGGUCAGUCAGCGGUGAAAAGCUGUCGCUUAACGAUAGUCUUGCCGCAGAUACUUCCGUUCUUGGAUGAGGAGGAGGCCACUGGAACGGAUGGUGUAGCGGUGAAAUGCAUAGAUAUCAUCCAGAACACCGAUUGCGAAGGCAGGUGGCUGUACCUUAAUCGACGCUGAUGCACGAAAGCAUGGGGAGCAAACAGGAUUAGAUACCCGAGUAGUCC
rnacentral:rRNA from 1 species